GAAUGGACGCUGCUCAAUGUCCGGAGGCUCACCAACUUCAUUAGCAUCCGUGGGAACAUCAGUCGGUCCUGGAAAAGAGAGAGAGAGAGAGGAGAAAGAAAGAAAGAAGUCUGUCUAGCUGCUGCUCUUCCCUAGAGAAGAGAAGAUGCUGAUGGCGAUGAGCAAGGCAAACUCGGCAUCGUUGAGCUGCAGUUCGUUCAUGGCUCUGGAGAACUCAAAGAUGGGAUUGAUGAACUCCACCUGAAGCCCUGGGGAGGAAGGGACACUGAGGGUUGUGGCGGGCCCGGGGAGAACAUCCACCAACUCAAUGUGGGGGGCUGCUAGGAAGUCACUGAAAGGUCUCCAGGUUUCUGCUGGGCAAGAACAAGCUUCUUAACUUCUCCACGUCUUCUCCUCUGUGAAAUUCGAGUCAGGUGGAAACUGGCGAGCAAAACCAGUCUGCUGGGAAUGGUAGUGCGUGGAUGUAAUUCCAGCACUUGAAAGGCUGAGGCAAGGGGAUUCCAAGUUUCAAACCAGUUUGGGCCACACAGCAAGAUCCUAUCUCAAAACAAAACAAAAACCUAUUGUGAUGGUGUGAUGGUUACGUGGUUGUCAAUUUGACAGGCUCUGAAAUAAAUCACUUAGAAAAUGGACCUCUGGGCAUGUCUGUGAGGGCCUGAAUAAAAAGAAAGCUGAGCACUC